CUUAGCUAACCAGCCAUACCGCAAAACAUAUAAAGAAAUAAAUGUAUAUAUACAACAUAAAAUGUGUUAAAAAUAAAAAGACCACUAAUUUUGACUUCUACCCACAUAAUGUACAAAAUUAAUUUAUAAUUAAGAAAGUUCUCUUUCUGAAAUUUUGUUAAGUUUAUGUUGGAAAUUACAGAUGGUUAAUUCAAAUGAAAAGCUGUAAAAAAUAAAUAAUUCAAAU